UCCAAGAACCAUCAUCACUCCAUCCUUCAAGACCACUCAACAUCUCUCUCUCUCCUCUCUCCAUAACCGUCCCCUCUCUCUCCUCCAUCUUCAUCUUCUUCAAAUCUUCAAACUCUUGUUCUUCAUGUUCAUCACCAUUUCUAGCAACCUUCAAGUGGUGUGAAGAUACAAAGGUGUUCCCAAGGUGUUCUCUAGUGAUUCAAGCUUCCUAUCAUCAAAAUAUCAUCCUACAACCUACUUGAAUCUUGAAGGACGAAUAAACAAUUUGAGGGAUUGUGUUAACGUAUAAAAACGCGCCCAAAGGAGAUGUUGCUUAGGAUGUUCAUGACACACUAGGGCGGACCUGUGCCUUAGAGACUUAAAAUAAAGAUGGAACUAGUUUAAUUAUAUGACGAACUCUUUGUUUCAGUUAUUUUAAGACAAUGUAACUCUUUGUUUCAUUAAUAAAACAUAACUUUUAAUUA